UACAUGUGCUGAACAUCCUCCAGU
rnacentral:siRNA from 1 species